rnacentral:rRNA from 1 species
AGGGCACCACCAGGAGUGGAGCCUGCGGCUUAAUUUGACUCAACACGGGAAAACUCACCCGGCCCGGACACUGGAAGGAUUGACAGAUUGAGAGCUCUUUCAUGAUUCGGUGGAUGGUGGUGCAUGGCCGUUCUUAGUUCGUGGAGCGAUUUGUCCGGUUUAUUCCGAUAACGAGCGAGACUCUAGCCUACUAACUAGUCUGCACAUUCGCUCGCGAUGUGCGCUAGACUUCUUAGAGGGAUUUUCGGCGUUUCAGCCGCACGAAACUGAGCAAUAACAGGUCUGUGAUGCCCUUAGGUGUCCGGGGCUGCACGCGCGCUACACUGGCGAAAUCAGCGUGCUUGUCCUCUCGCGAAAGCGAUUGGUAAACCGGUGAAAAUUCGCCGUGAUUGGGAUCGGAAAUUGCAAUUAUUUUCCGUGAACGAGGAAUCCCAAGUAAGUGCGAGUCAUCAACUCGCGUUGAUUACGUCCCUGCCCUUUGUACACACCGCCCGUCGCUGCCCGAGACUGAGCCAUUUC